AGUGACCGUUAGACUUCCGGCGCUGUCGCUGGCCCCACACAUACUCGCCCAGCAGUGCCAGCUGCGCUCCCAAAGACCCCUCGGAUCUCCCUCAGUGCCAACUUCCCAGCCUGCCUCAGCGGAAGGACUUCCUGGAAGACACUGGUGGAGCUCAGAAGCAUCCUCACGGGAGAAGUUUCCCCAGUGGAACCCAGCAGCAGCAUUUUGCCCGAACAACUCCACCCUACCCGAACCCCGGCCCGCGCUUGUGCCUUUCCAGUGUGUCAACGGCCUCUUAGGUCUGUGAACCGAAAAACUGCCUUCAGGUUUCCACAUUCAGCGUGGCCUUGUCAGGGAACCUGGCUAACCCUGGUGAAGAAUGAAGAAAGGACAGACACACAGGCAAUCUGGAAAUCUGGAGUCAGGAGUCAGAUACCAACUCCCAUGGCAAUGUGAAACUUUAGCACCUUUCUUAUCUACAGCACAGGCAGGGAGAUCUGCCUGGUGUGCCUUCUUCUACGGUAUGCAGGCCCUCACUCCCGAGACUCCAAGACUGAACAAACAUAGCGUUCUCCAUCUAUUACCGUCUACCCUACUCCAGAAGUCCAGCUCUGACCAUUCUAGAUCUCCCCACUACCCCGACACCCGUCUAGGCCCCCUGCAAGCUUGUCUGCUCUCUGAUAUCUCUCCCUGCCCCGAUGCUGGCUCCCCUGCCUGGGAAAGCCCAGACUGUGCUUGGGCAGUGCAGCUGGUCCAGGGAUAAAUACCUGGGAGAACCUUGUUUUAAAACAAAUUCAUGAUGAUAACUGAUACCCCCCAACACACACACCUGUGAGAGAGACAUCACAGUCUUCCAAAUUGCUUAACUUAUAUUAACUUAGUCCUUCUGAACAUCCUUAUGGUCCAAAAUAAAGGACACCCAUCUCAUACUCUGUACCCUAAAUUUCUCUCCGGAACUCUGCAGAUACCUUAGCCCUGGUCUGAAUUGCAGAGAGGAUUUCAAUAUACUUUGUUUUCCUUCCAACAUGUUUCAUUCUUACAGCAUUCCAAUUCCAUAGACUGCUGAACUUCAUGAGGUGAAUGAUUGUGUACGGGGAAAGGGCUCAGCCUGGGGACCUGUGACUGCCAACUGUUCCAGGUCUACUCCAACCCAGUCCUUAAUAACACCUAAGAGGGCCAAACUUUCCAGACUUUAACAACAAAUGGAUUCACAAACCACCACCACCAGAAGUGGGUGGAGGUAGCAAAAAGCAAAGAAAAUGCUAAAAAAAAUAAAAUAAAUAAAAAGUAAA